UGGCGGCCGUAGCGCGGUGGUCCCACCUGACCCCAUGCCGAACUCAGAAGUGAAACGCCGUAGCGCCGAUGGUAGUGUGGGGGUCUCCCAUGCGAGAGUAGGGAACUGCCAGGCA
rnacentral:rRNA from 1 species